rnacentral:rRNA from 1 species
UACGUAGGGCGCAAGCGUUGUCCGGAAUUAUUGGGCGUAAAGAGCUCGUAGGUGGCUUGUCGCGUCUGCUGUGAAAGCCCAUGGCUUAACUGUGGGUCUGCGGUGGAUACGGGCUGGCUAGAGGUAGGUAGGGGCAAGCGGAAUUCCUGGUGUAGCGGUGAAAUGCGCAGAUAUCAGGAGGAACACCGGUGGCGAAGGCGGCUUGCUGGGCCUUACCUGACGCUGAGGAGCGAAAGCGUGGGGAGCGAACAGG